rnacentral:rRNA from 1 species
GAUGAACGCUGGCGGCGUGCUUAACACAUGCAAGUCGAACGAAGCACUUUAUUUGAUUUCCUUCGGGACUGAUUAUUUUGUGACUGAGUGGCGGACGGGUGAGUAACGCGUGGGUAACCUGCCUUGUACAGGGGGAUAACAGUUGGAAACGGCUGCUAAUACCGCAUAAGCGCACGGCAUCGCAUGAUGCAGUGUGAAAAACUCCGGUGGUAUAAGAUGGACCCGCGUUGGAUUAGCUAGUUGGUGAGGUAACGGCCCACCAAGGCGACGAUCCAUAGCCGAGCUGAGAGGGUGACCGCACACAUUGAGACUGGGACACGGCCGGAACUCCUACGGGAGGCAGCAGUGGGGAAUAGUGCAAAAUCGGCGAAAGCCUGAUGCGGCGACGCCGCGUAAGCGAAGAAGUAUGUCGGUAUGUAAAGCUCUAUCAGCAGGGCAGAUAAUGACGGUACCUGACUAAGAAGCACCGGCUAAAUACGUG